UCCUCCUACAAAGGCGUGCUUGUAUUGUUUUGCUUACAAGCACGUAAGAACAGGAGGCAGAAAAAUCUGAAUGGAUAGUUUUGACAAGGAACUGCAGUGUGCAGUUCUAUCACUGUAAUUCAGACAGCU